AUUUUUGUGUAGGAUUUUGAAUUGUAAAAAUAGUUACCUGGUUUGAAUAAAGAGUGUUGCAGCUGCUGGUUGAGGCAUCAGUCAGUUAGCUGCCCAGUUGAAGGAAACAUCUACUGUAUUGUAUUUCUUUAUGAUUUGCAAUCGGAUGUGGACGGGCUAGCCUCGCUAGGAUCUGCGUGGUCUUAGCGGACUAGCUCUUCAACAGGUUAUGGGCCCAGGAACGUGUUCUUACAGCAUGUAUCGUUCUGGAGGAGGAUUGGCCGCAUAAGCCGCGUGGCGCAGUACGGGAUCCUCAGGCUGGAUGGGUUAGCCGCAACGGAGGACGGAAUCUAUCGGGAACGUAGGCGAUACAGGACACUGGAUGGCAGCUGGCUGGUCAAAGGAGCUCGUGUGACAGGAUCGAAGUCAGGAGGAGCUCGGAUGGAUGACGGAGCAUGUACGAAGUUCGGAACGAGGAGGAGUUUCGAGACAGGAGGAGACGAUCGGGAGUUGAGGUUGCGACUCUAAGGAGGAGUGUUGGAAUAGAGGUAGUGUCGCACCUCAGGUAGAAGAAUCGUCGGUUGAGAAGCAUACGUCGUCGUAGGUAAAAGUGUGGAAGAUUUGUUGUGAGGUAUAAUUUUUGUGUAGGAUUUUGAAUUGUAAAAAUAGAUACCUGGUUUGAAUAAAGAGUGUUGCAGCUGCUGGUUGAGGCAUCAGUCAGUUAGCUGCCCAGUUGAAGGAAA